rnacentral:rRNA from 1 species
CCUACGGGAGGCUGCAGUGGGGAAUAUUGGACAAUGGGGGGAACCCUGAUCCAGCCAUGCCGCGUGUGUGAAGAAGGCCCUCGGGUUGUAAAGCACUUUCAGUGAGGAAGAACGCCUGGUGGUUAAUACCCAUCAGGAAAGACAUCACUCACAGAAGAAGCACCGGCUAACUCCGUGCCAGCAGCCGCGGUAAUACGGAGGGUGCGAGCGUUAAUCGGAAUUACUGGGCGUAAAGCGCGCGUAGGUGGCUUGAUAAGCCGGUUGUGAAAGCCCCGGGCUCAACCUGGGAACGGCAUCCGGAACUGCCAAGCUAGAGUGCAGGAGAGGAAGGUAGAAUUCCCGGUGUAGCGGUGAAAUGCGUAGAGAUCGGGAGGAAUACCAGUGGCGAAGGCGGCCUUCUGGACUGACACUGACACUGAGGUGCGAAAGCGUGGGUAGCAAACAGGAUUAGAUACCCUUGUAGUC